UAAUUUGAUGUUUGUGGCUGUAUGGCAG
rnacentral:sRNA from 1 species